UUCCGGUUGAUCCUGCCGGACCUGACUGCUAUUGGAGUAGGACUAAGUCACGCUAGUCAAAGGUGCAGAAUGGAGCACCUGGCGUACGGCUCAGUAACACGUAGUCAACCUACCCUAAGGACGAUGACAACCACGGGAAACUGUGGAUAAUCUUCGAUAGGAAAUUUGGCCUGGAACGGUAUCUUUCCUAAAACCGGCUCGCCGUGAGACACGGGCCUUAGGAUGGGGCUGCGGCCGAUUAUGCUUGAUGGCGGUGUAAAGGACCACCAUGGCGACGAUCGGUAUGGGCAAUGGAAGUUGGAGCCCAGAGUCGCCAACUGAGACAAGGUAGCGAGCCUUACGAGGCUUAGCGGUCGCGAAAACUCGCCAAUGCACGAAAGUGUGAGUGGGCUACUCCAAGUGUCAUUCUUACGGAUGACUGUCGCUCAGUAUUACAAGCUGAGAAAGGAAGGAGAGGGCAAGGCUGGUGCCAGCCGCCGCGGUAAAACCAGCUCUUCGAGUGGUCAGGACGAAUAUUGGGUCUAAAGCGCUCGUAGCCGGACAUGUAGGUUCCUGGUUAAAUCCGACAGCAUAACUGUCGACCUGCUGGGAAUACCGCAAGUCUUGGGAGCGGGAGAGGAUAGAGGUAGUCAUAGGGCAGGGGUGAAAUCCAGUGAUCCUAUGGCGACCACCGAUGGCGAAGGCAUCUAUCUGGAACGUCUCCGACGGUGUGGGGCGAAAGCUAGGGGAGCGACCCGGAUUAGAUACCCGGUUAGUCCUAGCCGUAAACGAUGCCGACUAGGUGUUGCGACGGCCAAGAGCCGUUGCGGUGCCACAGCGAAGGCGUUAAGUCGGCCACCUGGGGAGUACGGUCGCAAGACUGAAACUUAAAGGAAUUGACGGGGGCGCACCACCAGGAGUGAAGCCUGCGGUUUAAUUGGAUUCAACGCCGGGAAUCACUAGUGCGGCCG
rnacentral:rRNA from 1 species